rnacentral:tRNA from 1 species
GCAGGCUUUACACUUGGCAUAGUUGAUUUGUAAUCAGUAGGUCCCGAGUUCGACUCUUGGUGCCGGCACCA